CCCGUCCCUCUCACUCCCGAUUACGGGGGACCAGUAGUUAGCUAUGCUGAUGAUUAUUGGAUGCACGCUUUAACCGUUAUGUCUGUGUACAGGAAGAUCGUCGGGUUAGCAAUAUAAAUUCAACCACAACAAUUGUAUCAAUAGCUCUUGGCAAUAAGGAUGUUCAAGAACCUGAAGUAUUAGUUAGCGGAAGUGACUUCUAUGCUUUCCCACGCUUUGAUCCAAAAAAUGAACGGAUAGCAUGGAUUCAGUGGAAUCACCCUAACAUGCCCUGGGAUAAAUCAGAACUUUGGGUCGGUUAUAUUCUGAAAAUGGAGAGAUCUCUAAGCGCAGCUGCAUUGCCGGCAUUGAUCCUUCGCUUGUGGAGUCUGUAACUGAACCCAAGUGGUCCCCUAAUGGGGAACUAUUUUUCAUUACUGAUAGGGGAAAUGGCUUUUGGAAUCUCCAUAAAUGG